rnacentral:rRNA from 1 species
UACGUAGGAGGCGAGCGUUGUCCGGAAUUACUGGGCGUAAAGAGCGCGUAGGCGGUCCGAUAAGUCGGCUGUGAAAGUCCAGGCUCAACCCUGGAAAGCCGGCCGAUACUGUCGGACUAAAGUCCGGAAGAGGCAAGUGGAAUUCCCGGUGUAGCGGUGAAAUGCGCAGAUAUCGGGAGGAACACCAAUUGCGAAGGCAGCUUGCUGGGACGGUACUGACGCUGAGGCGCGAAAGCGUGGGGAGCAAACAGGG